AGCAUAUCAAUAAGCGGAGGAAAAGAAACCAACCGGGAUUGCCUCAGUAACGGCGAGUGAAGCGGCAAGAGCUCAAAUUUGAAAGCUGGCCCCUUUGGGGUCCGCAUUGUAAUUUGCAGAGGAUGCUUCGGAUACGGCCCCCGUCUAAGUGCCCUGGAACGGGCCGUCGGAGAGGGUGAGAAUCCCGUCUGGGAUGGGGUGUCCGUGUCCGUGUGAAGCUCCUUCGACGAGUCGAGUUGUUUGGGAAUGCAGCUCUAAAUGGGUGGUAAAUUUCAUCUAAAGCUAAAUACUGGCCGGAGACCGAUAGCGCACAAGUAGAGUGAUCGAAAGAUGAAAAGCACUUUGAAAAGAGAGUUAAAAAGCACGUGAAAUUGUUGAAAGGGAAGCGCUUGCGACCAGACUCGCCUGCGGGGUUCAGCCGGGAUUCGUCCCGGUGUACUUCCCCGUAGGCGGGCCAGCGUCGGUUUGGGCGGCCGGUCAAAGGCCUCCGGAAUGUAUCGCCCCCCGGGGC
rnacentral:rRNA from 2 species